UACGGAGGGUGCAAGCGUUAAUCGGAAUCACUGGGCGUAAAGCGCUCGUAGGCGGUUUGGUCAGUCAGACGUGAAAUCCCGCAGCUCAACUGCGGAACUGCGUUUGAUACUGCCAGACUUGAGUGUCGGAGAGGGUGGCGGAAUUCCGGGUGUAGGAGUGAAAUCCGUAGAUAUCCGGAGGAACACCAGUGGCGAAGGCGGCCACCUGGACGACAACUGACGCUGAGGAGCGAAAGCGUGGGUAG
rnacentral:rRNA from 1 species